AUGGAGGAGUGUAAGGAAAGACCAGUGUUUGAAGGGCUGAGGUUCAAUCAAAUUUUAGAAAGGAAGAAAUUGCUUUUGGAGGCUGAAUUCUCGAGCGAAGAGAUAAGAGUUGCGGUGUGGGAUUCCGAUGGCAAAAAAAGUCUUGGACCCGAUGGAAUUAAUUCAAGGUUUCUUCAAGAAUCAUGGGCCUCAAAGAAUAUCGUCCUAUUUGCUUAG